CGGGUGAGUAACACGUGGGUAACCUACCUAUAAGACUGGGACAACUUCGGGAAACCGGAGCUAAUACCGGAUAAUAUGUUGAACCGCAUGGUUCAAUAGUGAAAGAUGGUUUUGCUAUCACUUAUAGAUGGACCCGCGCCGUAUUAGCUAGUUGGUGAGGUAACGGCUCACCAAGGCAACGAUACGUAGCCGACCUGAGAGGGUGAUCGGCCACACUGGAACUGAGACACGGUCCAGACUCCUACGGGAGGCAGCAGUAGGGAAUCUUCCGCAAUGGGCGAAAGCCUGACGGAGCAACGCCGCGUGAGUGAUGAAGGUCUUAGGAUCGUAAAACUCUGUUAUUAGGGAAGAACAAACGUGUAAGUAACUGUGCACGUCUUGACGGUACCUAAUCAGAAAGCCACGGCUAACUACGUGCCAGCAGCCGCGGUAAUACGUAGGUGGCAAGCGUUAUCCGGAAUUAUUGGGCGUAAAGCGCGCGUAGGCGGUUUUUUAAGUCUGAUGUGAAAGCCCACGGCUCAACCGUGGAGGGUCAUUGGAAACUGGAAAACUUGAGUGCAGAAGAGGAAAGUGGAAUUCCAUGUGUAGCGGUGAAAUGCGCAGAGAUAUGGAGGAACACCAGUGGCGAAGGCGACUUUCUGGUCUGUAACUGACGCUGAUGUGCGAAAGCGUGGGGAUCAAACAGGAUUAGAUACCCUGGUAGUCCACGCCGUAAACGAUGAGUGCUAAGUGUUAGGGGGUUUCCGCCCCUUAGUGCUCAGCUACGCAUUAGCACUCC
rnacentral:rRNA from 1 species